rnacentral:misc_RNA from 2 species
AACGCACAUUGCGCCCGCUGGUAUUCCGGCGGGCAUGCCUGUCCGAGCGUCAUUAUGACCAAUCAAGCUCUGCUUGGCCUUGGGGCCUGCUAUACCAGCGGCUCUUAAAACCAGUGGCGGUGCCGUCUGGCUCUAAGCGUAGUAAUUCUCCUCGCUAUAGGGCUCUAGACGUCCACCCGCCAGAACCCCCAAACUUCUCAGGUUGACCUCGGAUCAGGUAGGGAUACCCGCUGAACUUAA